rnacentral:rRNA from 1 species
UACGGAGGGAGCUAGCGUUGUUCGGAAUUACUGGGCGUAAAGCGCACGUAGGCGGAUUUGUAAGUCAGGGGUGAAAUCCCGGGGCUCAACCUCGGAACUGCCUUUGAUACUGCAAAUCUCGAGUCCGGAAGAGGUGAGUGGAAUUCCUAGUGUAGAGGUGAAAUUCGUAGAUAUUAGGAGGAACACCAGUGGCGAAGGCGGUGCUCUGGGCCGGAACUGACGCUGAGGAGCGAAAGCGUGGGGAGCAAACAGG